AGGAGUGUAAUUCAGUGGUAGAAUACUUGCUUAGCAUGCAUGAAGCCCUGGGUUAGAUCCCCAGCACCACAA
rnacentral:tRNA from 1 species